rnacentral:rRNA from 1 species
GGCACGAAGUCGUCUUAAUUUAUUUCUCAUAAUCUAUAUUUUAUUUCACUAUAUUAUUUAUUGAAGCAUCAAAAAACACAGUAAUGGCGAUAGAAGUUUUGUCUUAAAGAAUCUAAGUACCGCAAGGGAAAAAUAUGAACUAGAAAAAAGUAGUUUGUCAAACGUGCUUUUUGUAUCACGACUUAGCAAGAGCAAACCAGACAUACUGAGUUCUCGAAAUCUAACGAGCUAUUUUGUUUUAAUUUAUUAGAAUUUUAGCUCUAAAUGUGGCAAAAUUUAAGGAAUAAAUAAAAAUAGAGAUGAAAUUUCAUUCGCGUUAGUGAUAGCUAGUUCUCCUUAAAAAAUAUAAAAGUAUUAAAGUAAGGUAAAGUUAGUAGGUAAAUUUUUCAGCCUUUAACAAUCCUUAAGGUUCACUUGUCCGAGGAUAAGCUCGGACAAGGCUUUGAGAGCGGUAUAUAGGUUUAUCUUUGUGUGGGCUUAAGAUUGGCCACCACGUGUAAGCUUGUUAUAAAGUAGUCUACAACUUCUUUAAAAAUUAAUAUACUAAAUUCCAAUAAAGAUAGCUGGAGUAUUAAUAAUUGAAACCAAUCAAAUUAAAUACCUAUGCUAAGAUGAGUAUUACACUUAAAAAUAACUUAGAAAAGUAAUAAAGAAUUUUUUUAGAAUCAUAUUAUUGCAGAUAAAUUAAAUAUCUAGAAGGAACUCGGCAAAAAUCUGCUUCGCCUGUUUAUCAAAAACAUGGCUCUUUGUUUUACCCACAUAAAGAGUCGAGCCUGCCCAGUGAAGAAUUUUAACGGCCGCGGUACUCUGACCGUGCAAAGGUAGCAUAAUCAUUUGCCUUAUAAUUGAAGGCUAGUAUGAAUGGUUUGACGAAAGCAGAUCUGUCUCCUUUUUACUUUUUAGAACUUGACCUUUAGGUGAAGAGGCCUAAAUAUUAUUGAAGGACAAGAAGACCCUGUCGAGCUUAAAAGAGAUGUGCGGAAGUUAAUAUUCUCCUAAAUAAAUAACCCGUUAAGCUUUUUAGUUGGGGCGACUGAGGAACAAAAAAAGCUUCUUAAUCAAAAAAGACUAACAAGUUUAGAUCCAACCAGUUUGAUUUAAGAAAUUAGUUACCGCAGGGAUAACAGCAUAAUCUCCUUUGAGAGACCUAAUCGAAAGGGGGGGUUGUGACCUCGAUGUUGGACUAGAAUAUCCUAAAGAUGCAGAAGUCUUUAAAGGUUGGUCUGUUCGACCAUAAAAAUUCUACAUGAUCUGAGUUCAGACCGGCGUGAGCCAGGUCAGUUUCUAUCCUCAAUUUAUAUCCUUGGGCUUAGUACGAAAGGAUUGGCCUAAGAAAUACUAUUUUUUUUAAGAACAAAUAUAACUAACAGAUUAAUUUUAUU